UAUACCGUGAAACUGCGAAUGGCUCAUUAAAUCAGUUAUCGUUUAUUUGAUAGUACCUUACUACUUGGAUAACCGUGGUAAUUCUAGAGCUAAUACAUGCUAAAAACCUCGACUUCGGAAGGGGUGUAUUUAUUAGAUAAAAAACCAAUGCCCUUCGGGGCUUCUUGGUGAUUCAUAAUAACUUAACGAAUCGCAUGGCCUUGUGCCGGCGAUGGUUCAUUCAAAUUUCUGCCCUAUCAACUUUCGAUGUUAAUGUAUUGGAUUAACAUGGUUUCAACGGGUAACGGGGAAUUAGGGUUCUAUUCCGGAGAGGGAGCCUGAGAAACGGCUACCACAUCCAAGGAAGGCAGCAGGCGCGCAAAUUACCCAAUCCCGACACGGGGAGGUAGUGACAAUAAAUACUGAUACAGGGCUCUUUUGGGUCUUGUAAUUGGAAUGAGUACAAUUUAAAUCCCUUAACGAGGAACAAUUGGAGGGCAAGUCUGGUGCCAGCAGCCGCGGUAAUUCCAGCUCCAAUAGCGUAUAUUAAAGUUGUUGCAGUUAAAAAGCUCGUAGUUGAACCUUGGGCCUGGCUGGCCGGUCCGCCUCACCGCGUGCACUGGUCCGGCCGGGUCUUUCCUUCUGGGGAGCCGCAUGCCCUUCACUGGGUGUGUCGGGGAACCAGGACUUUUACUUUGAAAAAAUUAGAGUGUUCAAAGCAGGCCUAUGCUCGAAUACAUUAGCAUGGAAUAUAGAUAGGACGUGUGGUUCUAUUUUGUUGGUUUCUAGGACCGCCGUAAUGAUUAAUAGGGAUAGUCGGGGGCAUCAGUAUUCAAUUGUCAGAGGUGAAAUUCUUGGAUUUAUUGAAGACUAACUACUGCGAAAGCAUUUGCCAAGGAUGUUUUCAUUAAUCAGUGAACGAAAGUUAGGGGAUCGAAGACGAUCAGAUACCGUCGUAGUCUUAACCAUAAACUAUGCCGACUAGGGAUCGGGCGAUGUUAUCUUUUUGACUCGCUCGGCACCUUACGAGAAAUCAAAGUCUUUGGGUCUGGGGG
rnacentral:rRNA from 1 species